CCUACGGGAGGCAGCAGUGAGGAAUAUUGGUCAAUGGGCGCGAGCCUGAACCAGCCAAGUAGCGUGAAGGAUGACUGCCCUACGGGUUGUAAACCUCUGUUAUAAAGGAAUAAAGUGAGGCACGUGUGCCUUUUUGUAUGUACUUUAUGAAUAAGGAUCGGCUAACUCCGUGCCAGAAGCCGCGGUAAUACGGAGGAUACGAGCGUUAUCCGGCUUUAUUGGGGUUAAAGGGAGCGUAGAUGGGUUGUUAAGUCAGUUGUGAAAGUUUGCGGCUCAACCGUAAAAUUGCAAUUGAGACUGGCAGCCUUGAGUACAGUUGAGGUAGGCGGAAUUCGUGGUGUAGCGGUGAAAUGCUUAGAUAUCACGAAGAACUCCGAUUGCGAAGGCAGCUUACUAAACUGCCACUGACAUUGAUGCUCGAAAGUGUGGGUAUCAAACAGGAUUAGAUACCCCGGUAGUC
rnacentral:rRNA from 1 species